AUACGGAGGGUGCAAGCGUCAUCCGGAUUCACUGGGUUUAAAGGGUGCGUAGGUGGGUCUGUAAGUCAGUGGUGAAAUCCCCGAGCUUAACUUGGGAACUGCCAUUGAUACUAUAGCUCUUGAAUACUGUGGAGGUCAGCGGAAUAUGUCAUGUAGCGGUGAAAUGCUUAGAUAUGACAUAGAACACCAAUUGCGAAGGCAGCUGGCUACACAAAUAUUGACACUGAGGCACGAAAGCGUGGGGAGCAAACAG
rnacentral:rRNA from 1 species